rnacentral:tRNA from 1 species
GCUCCUGUCGUCUAGUCCGGUCAAGGAUGCGAGCUUCUCGAGCUUGUGACCCGGGUUCAAAUCCCGGCGGGAGCA